rnacentral:rRNA from 1 species
UACGAGUGGCACAAGCGUUAUCCGGUUUUACUGGGCGUAAAGGGUCCGCAGGUGGUCCUACAAGUUCGGUGUUAAAUCCUGGUGCUCAACAUCAGGGCCGCAUUGAAAACUGUAAGACUAGAGGCUGGGAGAGGUACAUGGAAUUGCCGGUGUAGGGGUAAAAUCCGUUAAUAUCGGCAAGAACACCAAAGGCGAAGGCAAUGUACUGGAACAGUCCUGACACUCAGGGACGAAAGCGUGGGGAGCGAAUGGG